CUGUUCCCAUGCCGAACACAGAAGUUAAGCUCUUUAGCGCCGAUGGUAGUUGGGCUUACGUUCCGCGAGAGUAGGACGUUGCCGGGC
rnacentral:rRNA from 2 species